GACAUUGCGAAAGUAAUCCUGCUCAGGACGAGCCGAACCGCAGGUUCGGACACUUGGUCCAUGUGCUUGGUCGAGAGAACAGUGCUGCAAAGCUACCAUCCGUGGGAUUACGACUGAACGCAUCCCGUCUAAGCAGGGUAAUGAUAUCGUGCGCACUUGCAGCGUUAACAGGUGACGCUAGAGUUUCUCGUGUCGAUCACGGCGGGCCGCCGCAAUUCCCGGCUCGACGAAGCUACGUGGACGUGGAGGCGUUAGUCGUUCGGCGAGGUAAUGGUCCGAGCGACACUCCCAUGUACUUGUUUUCGGUGUGAACCGAUGCGGUGUCAAAUCGUCCGUGGAUGACUUAGGUAUCUGUCGUAGUGUCGCAAUUAGUAGAGCAGCCACUACACUGCUAUCUAUUGAUGCCUAUUGAAGGUAAGGCUU
rnacentral:ncRNA from 2 species